rnacentral:piRNA from 1 species
GCGAAAGAGACGCUCUAUGCGAUGCAAG